rnacentral:rRNA from 1 species
CAGUCGCCGCGGUAAUACAGAGGAUCCAAGCGUUAUCCGGAAUCAUUGGGUUUAAAGGGUCCGUAGGCGGUCUUGUAAGUCAGUGGUGAAAGCCCAUCGCUCAACGGUGGAACGGCCAUUGAUACUGCAGGACUUGAAUUAUUGGGAAGUAACUAGAAUAUGUAGUGUAGCGGUGAAAUGCUUAGAGAUUACAUGGAAUACCAAUUGCGAAGGCAGGUUACUACCAAUUGAUUGACGCUGAUGGACGAAAGCGUGGGUAGCGAACAGGAUUAGAUACCCCAGUAGUCCCUGUCUCUUAUAU